rnacentral:rRNA from 1 species
AUGGAGAGUGUUGCAGUGUUGAUUGUUGGUGCUGGGCCAGCAGGCCUCGCAACGGCAGCAUGCCUUAGCCAAUUCGCAAUUCCUUAUGUCAUAGUCGAGCGUGAGAGCUGUAGCGCGUCACUUUGGCGCAACCGCGCGUAUGAUCGCCUCAAGCUGCAUCUUGCAAAGGAGUUCUGUGAGUUGCCACACAUGUCAUACCCUGUAGAUGCACCAAUAUACAUACCAAAAAACUUGUUUGUGAAGUACUUGGAUGAUUAUGUUGAGCAUUUCAACAUUCAACCGAAGUAUCUCACCUGCGUGGAGUCAUCCACAUAUGACAAUGAUGAAAAAUGUUGGUCCAUUGUGGCAAAGGACAUGUCAAAGUGCACCACAGUCAAGUUCACGGCAAAGUUUCUUGUUGUGGCAAGUGGUGAGAAUAGUGCAGAGAAUAUUCCAAUGAUCCCUGGACUAGAAAGCUUUCCAGGUGAUGUCAUCCACUCCUCAAGCUACAAGUCAGGCAAGAGCUACUCUGGCAAGAAUGUAUUGGUCGUUGGAUCCGGCAACUCCGGGAUGGAAAUUGCUUAUGACCUUGCGACCCAUGGUGCCAACACAUCGGUUGUUAUACGAAGCCCGAUUCAUGUAAUGACAAAGGAAUUAAUUCAUUUGGGCAUGACACUUGCUCACCAUCUUCCAUUGAAUCUAGUGGAUAAACUCCUUGUGAUGGCAGCGUAUUUAAUAUUUGGAGACCUGUCACGACAUGGCAUCACAAGGCCAAAAAUGGGUCCAAUGACCCUCAAAGCAGAAACAGGUCGAUCUGCAGUGAUUGAUGUUGGGACUGUUGGAUUGAUCAAAAAAGGCAUCAUCAAAGUAAGUAUAUCCUUGACAUGA